rnacentral:rRNA from 1 species
ACGCUAGCGGCAGGCUUAACACAUGCAAGUCGAGGGGUAACGGGGAAGCUUGCUUCCGCCGACGACCGGCGCACGGGUGCGUAACGCGUAUACAAUCUACCUUGUACUGGGGUAUAGCCUUUAGAAAUGAAGAUUAAUCCCCCAUAGUCUCUUAGAGUGGCAUCACUUCUAGAGUAAAGGUUACGGUAUAAGAUGAGUAUGCGUUCUAUUAGUUUGUUGGUGUGGUAACGGCACACCAAGACUACGAUAGAUAGGGGCCCUGAGAGGGGGAUCCCCCACACUGGUACUGAGACACGGACCAGACUCCUACGGGAGGCAGCAGUGAGGAAUAUUGGACAAUGGAGGCAACUCUGAUCCAGCCAUGCCGCGUGCAGGAAGACUGCCCUAUGGGUUGUAAACUGCUUUUAUACAGGAAGAAACACCUCUACGUGUAGAGGCUUGACGGUACUGUAAGAAUAAGGAUCGG